GUCACGAAUCGAAUAAAAGGAAGUUCGCUGGGAAUGAAUCGGAAGUGCUGGUUCGAAUCCAGCUCGUGACA
rnacentral:tRNA from 1 species